rnacentral:lncRNA from 1 species
CUUUCCCAUGAGUUAGCAGCUCUUAAACUUUUGAGAACCUGAACAAAGCUAUAUGUUCUCUCCUGGAUAAAUGCAUAUUAGCAUAGGCAUGCAUUUUGAUUACAAGAUCUGGUGUCCAUAGACCUCUACAGCCUAGGAACAGAGAAGGCUUUGUGGACUUGAUUUCAUUAAUCUUCAGAAAAUCCUGGGGACAGCCUGCGGGCAAAAUGCUGAAUCCUCUUGUGCCUGCGGAAAACGUGUCCAGGGAGAGGGAGAGGCUUGCCAAGGUCACAAGCCACCAGAAAAUGUCUUGUGUCAAGACAGAAAACCAUGCAGAACAAGAACAUUGCUACCCUCCUGAAUCCAAUAUCCCAGCUGCCUGGAGGUUUCUGAGCAGGGAUGGGGACAAGAAAAGACCCCAACAAGAAAAUAAGAGGUCACAAUCUGGAGGAGUUUUCAGACGUAAUGGCUGAUGCUGGGGCAGCCGUCUUGCAACCAUGAAGAAAAGGCUGAAAGAAUUGCCCAGAUGUGAACCCUACCAUUGUUGAACUCCUGAGUCAGCAUCAAACCUGCAUGAGGUAAGCAAACCCCUAUUCGUUCCAUCUACCCUAGAAAGUUUCUCAGGAUCUUUUAGUCAAAAGCAUUUCUACCUGAAAUAGUCAAUUCCAUAUCUAUCAAAGGAGAUUAGCUGAUUCAUAAGGAUAUUGAAAGAAUUAAAUGAGAUCCUAUACGUAAA